rnacentral:lncRNA from 1 species
UUUUUUUUUUUUUUUUUUUAUAAAAAAAUUCUCUUUGCUUUCCCCAAAAGCCAAUAGUCUCAGAAUAAACCAGCUUCCAUCACCACAAUGAUCUACGUGCUUGCCACCAAGCACUUGAUUCUAGAAUCGCAAGAUUGAAGAGAAGAACACAGAUUACUGUUAAACGAAAAACACAUGUUUUCACUGUGUUUGAAUAGUGUAUUAUUUGAAAUAAUUAUUGUAGCACUUUUUGUGCUGCGAUGUAUGUGAAAUAAAAAAUAGUUAAAAAUAUAAAAAAGUGAGUUUAGAAAUGUGUUUAUGAUACAAGCAAAAUAUUAUUUGAAAAAAUUAGUUAUUCAAUUACUCAAAAAAAAUUUUUUUUUUGCCAAAUUGAUAACCACAUCGUUCAAAUUUCAAAACAAAUGCAUUGGAUCAAGUCCCAACUAUAUCAAAUUACUAGAGGGGACGGGACGGGGGAGUGCUCGUGUAUCGUGCGGGUAUUUAGUGUCUAUGGUUAAAGAAGAUUUUUCAUUGGACAAAUAAUAGUACAUUUUGAAAAGACACAGUCGUUAAAUAUGAUAAAACUAAUAAUAGUACAUUCUAAUUGCAUCACACACUUGUACAUUUAAUUUUAUCAAUACUUGUAAGUGAAUUUGGACAACGCAUAAAUGUUAUUCUAUACCCAGAGUCGAGAGGAUGUUCAGUCAAAUUAUACUCUAAAUUUCUCUAUAGUUUGCAUAUAAGCGAUAAACAAACGGAUCUUUAGGAGAUGCGAAGUUUUGGGUGAAUACAAACUAGAUUAAAUAGUAAGAAAGAAGAUGAGAUAUACGGAUCUUCAUUUUUGUUUCUAUGCAUGCACCCGCGCCAUGCAGAUGCGCUUGAGCACGCCCAUUCACACACACACACACACUAGUAUAUAGAAAUUGCCCUAGUAGGAACAUUUUGGCCAAUUAAUUAUAUUUAGUUCCUUAAUUACAUUGGAUGAUUACAACGUCAUGUGGCAAAAGGAAAAAAAAAAAAGACUGCUCGAUGAAGAAGAAUGAUUUUCAUUUUGCCCUUCCAUUCCGGCUUGAAUAAUACUACAACUUUGGGUACUUAGUUCUUUACAACAUUUUCAAAUUGAAUCAUCUAUAUUUUCAAAAUAAGCAUGUAUAAACAAAAUUAUGUAAUGACAUUUGGUAUUAUGCAGCAAGUACUAAAAAUGUUAGCCCUUAAACCAACUUGUCAUAAAAAAUAGCUGUUUUAUAUUUUAAUUUCUCUCCUGCAUUAUUUGUAACAUUCCCCAGCACGGAUUGACACAUAAAAGAAAUCCCCUAAAAAGAAGAAAAUUUUUCUGGUUCAGCUUAACAUACUAGCAGUAAAUUUAACUGGCUGUCUUUAGUAUAGCAUCUGCCAGCUCCCACUUCUUGUCGAUAUGAAUGAUGUGACACAGUUUUGAUAAUUUCCUUCAACAUAUAAACCCGUGCCAGUAAGAAUGCUCGUACAACUGGAAACUAAUGCUCGGUCUCUAUGCCAGCAUAAGCAUCAAAAUAAUUUGACACCUGUUAGCUUGCUUGGUCAUCAUUUGACAACCUUGCAGUUGCACAAAGACAAAUAUUCAAGCAUCAGAAUGAAGAAAAUUAAGGGGAAAUGCAGGGUACAUUCUGCAAAGAGAGUGAGAGGUAAAUUAAGGUGCCAUACCAUCAUCAUCAUCUUACUUUGCUUCAAUGAAAAGUGAUACAGCAGGAUGGCUCAAGGAAACUUGGUUUUCUGAUGCAAAAAGAAAAAAAAAAAAUAGAGUCCUUUAUCACAAAAUAUAUUUAAAAAGAAACUCACUUGAAGCUACUUAACAUACCUUCUGAUUCCACGCGCAACCAAUCUUGGCCACAUACUAAAGCUUCUCGAGUGUCUGGAUUGAGCGAACUACGAUGAUGAUCAAGCACUCUACCUCUGUUGCUAAAUACCAGAUCUCGUCCAAGCGUGGCAACAGGUAGCCCCAGAACAUCACGAGCCAUCAUGGACAAGAUGGGAUACCUUGGGGUGUGAACCUUCCACCAAUUCAAUAUGUUGAAAUCAUUGUUACGUGGAAAGACUGGUUCCUCUAAAUACUUGUCAAGGUCGGAUAUCAUGCUCUGACUUAUUGAAGUUUCAUGAAGGAACUUGUCAAAUCCUCUCAGUCGAUCUCUAGUUCCAUUAAUAGUACUAGGCAAGCUACCAUCAGGCAGAGCAGAAUCUUGAUCCACCGAAGACGAGCUUACGGCAUACUCACUGAAAAGUCCCCGGAUACCAUUGGAAACCUCCUUGAUGUGACCCACAGCAUCACUACCAUAAAUCUGAGGAUAAUAGUACUCCACCAACUUCAUCUUGAAUCUGGGAUCUAGGAUUGCAGCUAUUGCCACCGCCAAACUGCACUUCUUCCAGUACUUGUCAAACUUGGAUUUCAUCUUCACUGCAAUAGAACUUAGAAAAUCAUCAGGACUCUUGCACCAUUCUAUCAAUUGAAUGUGAAUAUCACAUAGCUCUGGAAAGUACAUGUUUGCAGUAGGAUAUUUGCACCCAACAAAAACAUUGGUAACUUCAAGGAAAAGUUUCAUAUAACCAGUAACAGCACUUGCCCACUCCCACUCUGUUUCAGAUAGAGCUGUCAUAUAGGAAGGGUCGUUCUCUUGUAGGAGAGAGAAUGCUCCCUUGUAUUCUACUGCUGCUUCAAGCAUCAAAUAAGUUGAGUUCCACUGCAUUGGGCAAUCAACAACUAGAUGCCUGUCUGUGCUAAUCCCAAUCUGCUGAGAGAACUCAUUGAAUUUUCCUAGUGUUGUUUGUGAACUUCUAACAUGCCUAAUGCUUUCUCGGAUUUUAUCCGUCACAUCUCGAAGUGCUUCCAUGACAUCUUGAACGAUAGAUUUCAGAACCUGUGCUGCACAGCGUACAUCAAACAAUUCACCAUUUUUCAGAAGAGGUUUGUUUUGAGACAGCCAAUCCUUAAUCCUGAAGACCAUAUCAUCAUACGCAAAACAAUCAUCAAAUGUCAUGGAAAAUAAUUUCCUUUCAACAGCCCAUUCUGUCAGACAUUUGAUAACAACUUCAGAAAGGAUGUCAUCUGUAUGAGAAGGAUCCAAAGUAAUGAAGUUCAGUAUCUUCUUCUGUAGCUUCCAGUCCCCAUCAACAUAGUAAGCUGUCAAAGACAUAUAUCUUGCAUUUUCUGAUGAAAACCACAUAUCAAUGGCAAGACUGAUCCUGGAAUGCAGAUUAUGUACCAGUUCAUAAACCUUCUGUUUCUCCUUCCCGUAUAUUGUCAUACAAUCAAGUUCAGUGGCACUAUUACUCGCAACAUCAAACAGGGGUUGCAAAUUCUUCGCAAAUAUUUUAAAUCCAACAUGCUCCACCAUAGCUAGUGGGUAACCAUGUAACAUUAUCAUACGGGCAAGAUCCAGUCUACUACGCUCUUGAUCAAAUUUAGCACUUGCCAGGCUGACAGCCUGACUAGGUUCUUCUUUUCGCGGUUCUGGAUCAAUUCUGUAAGCAAUGGGGGUGAUAAUUUCAUCUUUUCUUGGCACUUCAUCAUAUGUGAAAUUUGUAAGGCUAACAGCAGUAUCCUUUCUCUUUCUCUUAGCAGCUAGAAUCUGAGAAACAUCAUAGUUGGAUCUCUUCAAACACCUUAGCAAAUGAUUCCGCAAAUGAGUUGUUCCGCUGUUACUCGAUCCACUAAGCUUCUUCUUACAAUGUACACAAACAGCAUAACAUAUUUCUCCCUUCCUAACUCUUUCAAAAUGAUUCCACACUACAGACGUCAACCUCUUCGUCUUCUUAGCAGGAGUCUCAACAGGAAUUUCCAUAGCAAGGACUUACUUAUUAAGCAUUUAUAUCUGCAUUCACCACAUUAAGACAUGGAGAUUAAUUCUUGACUGGGACUGAAAGCAAAACAAAAUACUUAAUGCUCGAACUAAGCUGGACUAGGCAAGAGCUUGUUGGAGAAUUAGUUCGUCAAAAAAUUCAAACCAAGCCCAGAAAAACAUUUAUUGCUGAUCAACAGUUCAAGCUUAGCCUAAUAAACGUAACAAAGCUGCUUGAGCUUGCCUCAGUGUCAAGCUCGUUCAUAAAUUCAAUUCAUGCUAAACAAUGUAGUAUUCUAUUUGAUUAAGCUCGUUUACAUCCCAUUAACCACUACUUCCAUGAAAAAAAUUUCGCCACCAAUCAACAACACUACGAAAAAAGUAUCCUUGACAGUGUAACUUUCUACAGUGGAUAACAUAAAUUUAACCAGAUUUUUCAUCUAACCUACUACAUUCAGAUCCUUAAGCAACGAUUUUCUAAAAUCUACAAGAAAAAAUAGAUUAAUCAUCCUUAAAAACCUCGAAAUUCCAGAAUAGAGUUACUAAGUUCUAAUCCAAACAUCUGAAAUAUAAAGGUUCACAGACACACACAGACGCAGUGACUCCGAAAGGAAAAUGAAUUCAGAAAUUUCAGUCACAAUAAGCAAAAAUCAGAAAAAUGUAAAACAAUUCACGCGAAAGGGAAAAAAAAAAUUUCUCAGCAGUUGGUAAAUUCAGCGCACAAAUAACGUCAAUUUGCUAAUUUAAUUACAAAAAUUAUAAUCCAAAAAAAGAUUAAAAACAAAAACCGGAAAGUCAAACGAAUUCGGGUUGGAUCUUACAUGGAUCGAGAAAAAGAAUCCGGAUCUGAAGCUGAGGUUUCUGGCGCUGGAUGAGAGAAAUCGGUGAUGCUAACAGGGAAGGAUCCGAUCGGAGGGUCCGAAAAGCGGUAGAAUAGGAUACGGAUUACAGAGUCGUGAGGAAAAUGGAUAUUCUGAUCCGGAAAUGAAAUCUGGGGGAAUUUUGGGUAUACCCAGUGGGUAGGUUGGUAAAACGGAUGGGUCAAGGCAGGAGUUGUAAGGUAGUCUAGAGCUAACCGUGGGUUCUGGGUCCGGCUUGGUUAAGGUUAGUUGGGUUGGGUUGUAUAAUGCGGGUUUUGGGCAGGGGCCGAACCUCCUUGGGCUCUGGAUUACCGUUCUCUAGUUAUCACUAGGGCUGUAAACGAGUCGAGUCGAAUCGAGUUUUGGAUUAAUCGAGCUGAGGCUCGACUAAAUUUUAUCAAACUCGAACUCGAGUUCGAACUCGACGAGCCAGCAAAUUUAAAGCUCGAGCUCGAGCUCGAAAAAAAAUAAAAAUAAAUAAAAUAAUAUUUUUUAAUAAAUAAUAAAAUAUUAAGAAUAUAUAUGCAAUUUUACUAUUAAAAUAAGAAAAUAAAAAAUAUAUAUAUACUUAAAAUAAAAAAUAUAUAUAUACUUAAAAUAAAAAAAAUAAAUAUAUAUUAUAUAUAUAUUCGAGCUCGCGAGCCGAGCUUAAUAUUUUGAGCUCGAGUUCAAGCUCGAUUUUGACUCGAUCCGUUCGCGAGCGAUUCAAUUCGUUUGCAGCCGUAGACUCAUAAUUACUCUCCGUUAAUAGUGGUACCAUGUUUUGUCUAUGAAAAUAGAGAGCAGUAACAAUCUAAUUUGUCAUUGGGAUUUUCCUUUCUUUCUCUCUUUUAGUAAUAUAAUAGUUUGGUAGGUUUUAGGUAGGGAAUAUUUCAUUUUUACCUUCACUAUUAAUUUGACUUUUGACCUCGCUACCCCUUUAAAAAUAUUGUCAGUAAAAAUCUGUAAUAACUAUUGCAAGUGAAAGGUUUGAAAUACAGUAGUGAGUUUUUUGUGUUCUUAAACUUGUUCAAAUUGAAAAUUUGACUAUCGAUUUUUUGGUUCAAAUACAGAGUAAAACACCACAUAUUUCCUUCUUUCUUGAAUUUCACUAGCUCCAUUGAGCUCCUCCAAUCAGAAAUUAUUCGUCACUUGGUUAUUUUAGCAAAAAAAAAAAAAUUCCUUUAUUUAUGUUUUAGUUGGGAGGAGGAGCAAGAACGAUAACAGUUCCUGAAGAUUCAUGGCCAAGAUUUGACAAAAGAAAAAUGUAAGGUUCAGAUUGCAAUUUUUAUAUCGUUUUUCAUAUCAUGUAUGAGACGCACAAAAUUUUGUUCUAUAAUUAUAUAUUAUUGAAAGUGAAUUACACUACUAUAUUUACAAAACCUUCAGAAGCAACCGUUUCCUGUCCCCUCCAUUUUUUAUUUUUAUUUUUUUUCUUUUCAAACGAUAAGAGAUCCUGUCCCCUCCAUUUAGACGGUGAAACUUGGUACAGAAGCGAGAAACUUAUUAAAUGCAGAAAACUACUAUCAACUUACCACUUUUGUCAACCAAAAAUUAUCCCGAGAAUAGAAACGCUUUUUUUCGGCGGUAAGUAUGACCUAUCACGCUCUCCAUUUAAAGCUAAAAACGCUUCAAGCGAAGUAUCUAAAUAUCAAAAGCGUAAAUUGACUGGUCCGACAUCAAAGUCCUCCAUUUCUGGCCCGAGUUUGCCGCCAAAUCAAGCAAUCCCACUUGAAAAAUCCCAGUAAACAUACAUAUUCACCUGUUUGGUGAAACAGCAAAAUCACGAUAUCCCUAUCAGAUUCGUUAAUAUAUUACAGUAGCAAGAUUGAAUAUGGCGAGAAGGCGGUUAUUGCUGCUUUUGAAGCCGUUAGAUGUGUACCCUUCUCACCAAUCAGACAAGCUCUCUCGCUUUACCAGCCCCAAAGUACGUAACCCUUUUGAUCUCAGCUUACACUAGAGACAAGAAGCCUAGAAAAAGAAUCCAAUAAACCCAUUAAUUUCCUCAUUUACAUUUGUCUUAUUUGUGAGUUUUUAAAGUCUUUACUGCCUGCAGACUAACUGUUUGAUUAUAUGUUACUGUUAAUUGUUACUUUUGAUCUUUUUCAUUUGUCUGCAACAGAAUUUAGUAGAGUUCUUUGUUUGUUUUUUUGUUUUGUUUUGUUUUGUUUUUUUUUUUUUCCUUUUGCUCAUGAGAUAUGGUAGUAUAAGUAGGAAAGUAUUACCGAGAGAAGAAGUUUCCUUUUGCUUUUCGAAUAUUUUGCAUGGACUGUUUAAGACCUUUUCAUUUCACGGGACUGGUCUGAAGUUUUGGGAGACCAGAAAAGUUCUGCAAUUGCUUAGUGAAAUUACAUAUGGAAGUUUCUGUUUUUGUCCAUUAUUUGCAACUAAUACGUUUCCAGCUACUACAGAUUUUAUCCCAGCGGAUCACAAUUUGCUAUUGGGUGCCUAUAUGUUUUCUGUUUCUAUUAAAGUCACAUAUGUCUGAUAUCUUUUCUGUUGAAGAUGACACAGGUCAUAAAUUAUCUAGACAAUAGGCGCACAGUUCACAGUAAUGCGAUAAACUUCUGUCAGAAUAUUUUGAAGAAAAAGUUUGUUGAUUGGGACACUGUUUAUAGGAGCAAUCUAUCUCAGCCAAUCCGUGAUGUAGAUCUGGUUGUCACUAUAGGAGGUGAUGGUACAUUGUUGCAGGCAAGCCAUUUCAUGGAUAAUUCAAUCCCAAUUCUUGGCAUAAAUUCCGACCCCACUAAAGCUGAAGAGGUUAGGUUAUGUCAAUAAUAAAUAUGAAGCUGGGAUGCUUGUGUUUCACUCUGUAAAUUUCUACCACAUCAGUUGAUAAAUUUAAGGUACAUGUGAUUGUGUAAAACCAAAUUCAUGUCAUUUGCAAUAUAGGUGGAAGAACACAGUGAAGACUUUGAUGCUACGAGGAGCACGGGCCAUCUAUGUGCAGCAACCAUUAAAAAUUUUGAACAGGUGAGAUUCACACUCACCUAAUCCAAACUUGAUCAGUUAAACUAUAAUAAUAAAGAAACAAUUAACUAUAAACUACGAAUAGAAACUGGUAAUUGCGGGUGCAUACUUUAGAGAGCAUCUUCUACUGGGAAUUUGGCUUGUUAAUAAUCCUUUUUACUCCUAUUUUCUAGUGAAGCCUAAUUUCAGAGAUUGGUAAAGCCUAGAUAAUUCAGUUCACAGAGAAGUUAAAACCUAGAGUUUAGUAUAAGUUAGAAUUUUUACUGCAAAUUUGGUUCUUGUAUUUGAAACACCCCCCGCCCCCCCUCUUUCUCUCUGUCUCUCUGUAGCAAACUAUCUGCCAGAGUAAUCUACUUCUGAUAAUAUCUCGUCUGAAAGUUGUCAAUUGGACCUUCUACUGCUUUUGUUGUACACAGCAAUAACUAACCUUAAUCUGUAAAACUUGACCAGCUACGGCAACAUUCCUUUUUUAAUGGAAUUGAUCGUUACCACCCCCUGGAUACAUGAGACUUCUAGCUUAGUUCUUGAUUGUGAUCAUCUUGCAGAUGUUGGAUGACAUCCUUGAGAAUCGGGCUGUACCUUCUGAAGUUGCAAGGAUGUCCAUAAAUGUCAACUCUAAACAGCUUUCAAUUUUUCCUCUUAAUGACGUUUUAAUUGCACAUCCAUGUCCUGCAACAGUCUCAAGAUUCUCAUUCAGGUAAAUCUCGCCCAUAUAGGUAAUACAGAAUUUUAGAUUGUUUAACUAUAGCAACUUAAGAUCCUAAUGCACAAAUUUGUUGCGCCACCCUUUACAAUGUUUGCAUGUGCUUGGGCUCUUUUAAAAUGAGGAAUGUUAGAAUGGUCAGAGGAAAACUCGCCUCUGUCAGAGUAUGAGCUUCAAGCUGAGAUUGCAAAUAAAACAAAUAUGGCUAUAUUUCUAUGCUGGUUUCAGUCGCAUAAUUAUAUUGUUCUCUGUUGACAGAAUCUGGAGAGAAGGGGAUCAAUGUUCUCCAUUGCUGAACAGCCGAUCAAGUGGUCUGAGAGUAUCAACAGCUGCUGGAUCAACAGCUGCAAUGCUUUCUGCUGGUGGAUUUCCAAUGCCCAUUUUGUCUAGGGAUCUCCAAUACUUGGUGAGAGAGCCAAUAUCUCCUGGAGCCAACUCCAGUGUGCAUGGAGUUGUAAAGUCCAAUGAAUCUAUGGAAAUCAAAUGGUUUUCUGAAGAAGGGCUAAUCUACAUCGAUGGUUCCCACGUUGUGUUUUCUAUUCAAUUUGGGGACAUGAUUGAACUAUCUCCCAAGGCUCCAUCACUAAAUGUCUUUUUGCCUUCGCACUUCCUAUCAUAAAUUAUCCAUGAAUUUUCUGGGUAUAUUUGUACAAAAGAAAUAGACAUUUGUGUACAUUUCAUGCAUCUGUAAAUUGCAAUGGUUACAAAUAAAUUUUUUUGAUUAGGUAAUGAGAAGUUCAUUUUCUUUUAAUGUCAUAUUGUACACUAUAUUUGUUGUGGCUCGAAGACUGGUUCCUUGGCCUUCUCCUUUCAGUUGUAAGUAGUUCUCAUCAUUAAAACAUGUCAGCUAUUCUCCACGGCAAUAAAUGCAUUAGAAUAUGAUAUGGAGCGCAAAGACAUCUAUAACCAAUGCCCACGUUCUUGCUGUAAAGAUUUAUGGUAGCUUACCUAUAAUACUCUUAUCACCUUCUAUCCAAGUAGCGGAAUUUCCGUCUUAACGGACUUUCAAGGCAAAGAAUUGCAAUGAGAUACAGGUAGACUAGUAGACAUACAUAACACAUCUGAAGCACAAAGUUGUAGUCUAGAACUCCAUUAUGACCUGUCCAUGGUUUGUAUUACAAAUUUACAAUGAUCAUUUAGCUGAUAGAGCAGCUUAUUUGUUAUUUCCCCUCUAGUUGGAGCAGUUGCUUUAUCAACAAGUAUACUCUGUGCAAUUUCCUUCGUGUCAAAGAUAAUAAAAAAAUCUCAUCUGCAAUAUGAGCCCUACUUUUCCCUUUUCUCUUGAAAUUGUCAAUCAAAGAGUCAACAACAAGAAGGCCACCAAUCUACAACCUGAAAAAGGAAAAGUUCUUGUAAAUUCAGUAUUGAAUCAAGAACACUUUAAGCAUAAUAUUAUAGGAUUUUUGCUUACGUGAACAAUUGAGGGCGGUUUCGAGAGAGCUGAGGCCUCUUUAUUGGUGAAAGGAUGAGAUUCCUCAAAGUCAUUGACGGGUUGCUAGCACCAGCUCCUCCACCAGCACCAAAAACAGGACGAACACCAGCCCUUUUGUUACCAGCAUCAACAGGGAUUCCAGAUUGUCGCGCAGGUGAACCACUUGAGAUGUCAAAGGGGCCAGAGUUUGAACUGUUCUGCCUUGCAGGUGGCCAUAUAUCCUCUCUUGGUCCUGGAGUUUCAGGAGUGAGAACCGACCAAUCUGCCACAAAUAAGUUACUAGUAUUUCUUGGCUGAAUACAACCAGGACAAUUGAAGAAGGAAUAGUAUAUUGCGCAAUAUGUGCUUAAAUAUACUCAGUGAACAGAAUGCCAAAAAUCCAUCUCAUCAAGUCUUGAUUGCGAUAAAAAGAACAGGUUUACCUUUUCUGAUAGGGUCUCUGUUAUCCAUCACAUUGGCAGGAUUUGAGAACAAAUCAUGCUCUGCCCUUGGAUAGAAGUUGGGUGCAGGUUGAAUAGCGGAUCGUUUCGUUGACUCAUACUCACUUCUCAAUUGGUCAUACAUCUCAUCCAGCUUUCUUUUCUGUCUGGAAUAGUUUGAUAAUAAUACUGGUCAGUGGUGUAAAAUCCACAUCAACGAGUCACAGUAGGAUGACGUUCAGACUGACCUAGACUUUUCUGCAAAUUUUUCCUGGAGCUCUUGCUUAUCCUUAGAUAAGCUCUCAAUCUCUUGCUCCAUCAUCUGGCACCUCUUAGCCAUUUUCUGGUAUGCUGUAUGUACUUGCUCCAGUUUUUCAGUGAACUUUUCUUGCAUCACCUCACAUUUCUGCCGGCACUGAGCUACUAUUCUAUUCAUUUUAAAUUGCAUCUCCAACUCCUUUUGCCCGAUGUAGAACAUCACACUUCUGUAUGCACUCUUCAUCACUGUGUUCUUUUAGGAAAAUCAAACAGAAGAUCCGAUAAAAUUGUUUCUCAUACAAAAAGUUUGAAACUAAGCAUGUGCCUUGACAAAUCUAAGUGCUUCUUUUGCAUGUUACACAGCUCAAAAGUUCAAGUGAUCCAUUUAACUAGCCUGCAAGAGCAAAAAUCUACAGCUUUGGACAAUUUGGCAACCAUAAUAAGGUUCAAAAGGCAUAUCUUUCAGUUCUCUAGAAACUUCUGCCCUAUUCCACCAGAUGACUAGCCAAAUUGAAGUAUUACUCUUUAAUAUUCCAAGAAUUCUACCCUGUUUUCGCUUAUAACAAGCCAAUUCUGAAUAAUGAACGUCAGAAAAUUCUGAAAGAGUUAUUCAGGAUACAUAUUUGUGGUGAUAUCCCAGCCAUGACCAUCUGCAAAAAAAAUGAAAAUUCACCAAGUUUUGAUACUUAAACAUCAGCAAUGACAAGUCUUAGCAACGAAAGAAAGCCAAGCCACAAAAAUAAAUUAAUAAAUAAAGAUAGCUUAUGGAAAGCACAGAAAGUUCGAGGAGGGGAAUUCUUACAUUUGUCCAUUCAUCACUUGGAUUGAUAUCCACCGAUUUCAUGAGGCUGGAAAAUCAUAAUUCAUUAUAGGUACAACAGAAUCAGUGGAAUGUCAUAGCUAUUAGCUAAUGCCAGAAUUAAUGAUAUUAGUCAUAUAACUAGCUUUAGUAUAGGGUCCACCUCGAAACUGUGCAAAGUAGUCCAAGGCCAAAAGAGAAGAACAGAGUGAUUUUUGUGUUAUUGUAGUAUGGUGUUGCUAGUUUCAUAAUCCAUGAAACAUGAGACAUGCAUUAUCAAUGUCCAAGCAGGUUAUCUAACAAAAAGCUAUUAUGUUCACCAUCAGCAGCUACUUACCUUUUAGAGAGCACCUGAUCACAGAUAGGGCAAGCAGCAUCGUUGCUGAGAAUCUUACUGGCAUCCUCGGGACCUGUUAAUGUUGUUAAGGAGUACCUUGCCCAACUAUUACUGAUUCUAAAUUUAAGGGGGGGGGGGGGAAAUUACAUUAACUGCAAAAGGAUCUGCACUAUCUAUUGCAUUGGGAUACAAAGAAGGUGGCCACAAGUGGUGGAAACUGCCUGUCCUUCCAAUUCUCGCCAGCAUGCAUUGCAUCUCAUUUCAAUGUUUAGAUAGAGGUGACCAAAUAGAUAGGUACAAUAGGGAAAAGACCUGAUCAAUAUAACCAAGUUUCAACAUGCUUCUCUCAUAGAUUUGUGUCUCUACUAUGCUGUGAUCCAUUAGUUUCAAAGAAGACAACUUAGAGAACUCAAGCAACAAAUCAAUUAAUCAAUUUCCUCCAGAAACAAUAAAAGCUUGGGUCGAAACUCAUUUUUAAGAUGUGAUAUUUGGAAUCACAAGCUACAGUGCUAAGCUGAUAGCAUGAUCCAGAUGUAAGACGGCUUUUGUCUUAAGAUGCAGAAUGAUCUCUUUUUUUUCCAUAUUUUGCAUUCAGGGAGGUGGAGGUUAAAACUGUUAAAAGAAUGUAGAAAUACAUAUCUAAACAAUAAGAGAAGUAUAUGUUUUGAUGUUCCUCAUUUUCCUAGUUAGGCUACUGAUCUAACAAUGUUAACAGCCAAAUCAUUUAGUAGGACCAAUAAUAAACUAGGAAAUCAAAACUUGGAAAUGGUAACUUCAAUGCAAUCUAACAAUUAACCAAAAUGCAUCGACACUUGAACACAUGUACCUCAGUUAACUUGCAGUUCAUAACUAUUUGCUCCAAAAGAAAAAAAAGAGUUGCAGAUAGAAGCAAUUAAACAAAGCUUGAACCUGCUCUAUUCAACCUAAAAAAGAAGCAAGAUUCCAAUAUUAAGUUGGUAAAAAGACCAAGGAAAAAAGAAAAACAAGAAAAGGAAAAAUUUUCUAGUAAAGAAACUGUAAUAAUUAACAAGAAACGAUCAUUCGGCAACAUCUCAAAUUUCAAAUUAAAUGACAAGAACACACUAUAUUCAUGAUAUCAAAAAGACAAUUCGGAGUUAAUCCUGCAAAUUCAACGCUGCAAAUACAGAUGCGACAGCAUGGCACUGAAAUUGCAAUAGGCAUCAUAGUAAGAUGUAGAAUUAACUGUGAAAAGUCAAAUUCCUCCAACAGAAACAUCAUCUACAAUAAUUGGGGAAAACUUGAGAUUGAACUUUGUUCCUUGCAGUUUACUCUCUUAAUCACCUAGCCAAACAAGCUGAAUGUAACUUUAAUCAAGUUCAAGACUUUCAAUCUACUAAAUCAAGCAGCGGAGCAAAUAAGGGAAAUUAAAAUCAUGCGAAAUUUCUCAACAAAAUGCAAAAGCAGAAAUUGCAAGCAAGAGGAUAGAGAUUUUAUUUACCAGAUGAUAGAAGAAAGUUCUUCUUACGAACUAACUCCGUCGCUCGCUUCUUCGCAAAAUUCCUAAUUUCAAUAGGGAGAGAGAGAGAGAGAGAGAGAGAGAGAGAGAGUGAAACUGACAGCUUCGCAAUAGAACUUACGAAUGGCUUUCUGAUCGAAAUGUAUCUGAAAAUUAAAUCAAAUCAUUCUCAUCGCAAAUUUCUGACAAUGCAGGUGAAUUACGGAAUUAGCAAUUGAAUCCAAGCUGGAAUUGCUUUUGAACGGAAUCGGAACUUCUCUCUUUCUCUAUCCCUUUGGCUACGUUUGGGUUCAAGUAAAUGUUAAAAUGGCGGGAGUUUAUACUUUAAAUAGGCCUCUUAAUAAUUAAUUAAUAGGCUCGACUCCGCAUCUUUGGCUGUUCAGACUUCAGACCUUAAUAGCGCUAAUUUUAACCCAAACCAACAAAUUUUUUUUUUUUUUUUUUUGGAAAAAAAGAGUAACGCUUUGCAAAUUAUGUACAAAAAAAAUAUUUAUGAUGCUCCCUCAUUUUGCAAGGGCACUCGUUUUCAGUUUGUGAUUAUGUGAUACAAGAUAGUAUGUUGGUGUGUUUGGAUUGAGAAGAUUUGAAAUAAAAUAAUUUACUUCACAAAUUUCAAUUAUUUUUUUAUCUUUUCAAUCAUUCUUUUAUCUCACAUAUAUCACAUCACAAAAAGUGUUGCAGUAAUUAUCUCAAAUAAAUCAUCCAAAUAAACUCUUAUCCAAACAAAUAUGGUGCUAUUUUUUGUCCAGGCAAAAUAUUCAAAAAGUUUUAAAAAAAUAGGGCCUCAUUAACAAAAUAAUGUUGUCCCCUCUAAAAUUUUUUUAAUGUCUCUUUUGAACUUAAGUUGGCCCCUCUUUAUAAAUUAAUAAGUUCAUUUUGUGGGUGAUUUCAUGGUUGACGGUGCAUACAAAAUUUCGUCACAUGAAUUUUUCGUCAUUUACUUUUAAAAAGAUAAAAUUAUGUUUCUUACAAAUUUGAGUCCGUAAAAUUUGAUUCUAACCUAAAUUUUCAUCACUUUUUACGCUAAAUCUAUCACAUGACCUACAUCAUAAUCAUUUUUCAGGAGCAAAAAUAUCAGAUUAUUGUAUCAUGCUUAAUUACAUUUCUCAUCCUAUAAAUUACAUUUUAUCAUGCUUAAUUUUGAGCCAAAUUAAUUUACCUCUACUACAUUGAACAAUAGUGUUGUUUUCUUGAAAAAAAAAAAAGGUAUAAUUAACAGAAGUCAUUUUCCGGCAAGCAUUGUAGUCAUUUUCAGUCCAAUCGGUCGCAACGGCAUAGGUACAUAACUCCACCAUUUCGCGUUGUCUAAUUAACUUUCUAGAAUACCACCUCGUGGAAUAUGAAACUCUACCAUGUUCCCCCGACCACCUUCAUUCAUCAAUGUAAUGGGACCCUUGAAAGUUGCUCCAUUGCUUUUGUACGAGUUUUUUAUAUUGGCUAAAACUUGGGGUAGAUUCAUUUUCAAAUACGCAAUGAUCCAUAUUGUGCCAUAUUACUCGGUAAAUGGUAUAAUACAAUUUGAUUAGUUGAAUUUUUGAAAAUCGAAUCUACUCGUGUACGAGUCUUUUUAUAUUUUUGUAUUUUGAAUUGGGAUAAUUUCAGAAACCUCCUUUGAGGUUUCUGACAGUCUCACUCUUCUCCCUCGUGAUUUCAAAAAUAUCACAAAUCUUUCCUAAGAUUUAGAAUUUUGUAACAAAAUCAUCCCAUUAUGUCAAAAGUGAACAUAAAAAGUGUUUUCAGGAAUGAGAGGGAAUUUUAUUUUCAUAAAUGCCCUGAGGUAGGUGUACAAGCUAUAUUAGUGAAAUAAUGAAAACUAAUAAAAGCCAAAAAUAAAUUAGAAACCGGGGAUAAUUUCAGAUAUAAUAUGUUAUUCAUCAAUAAUAUUAUAUCAAAAGCUUUUAUUAGAUGGUUAUUUGUUCCAAUUGCAUAUUAAAUUAACCAUUAGUGCUUAUGAGAGUGCAUUAAAUAUUUAGUAGAGAUGCAAUUUACUUCAAUAAGUAGCAUGUGUAUAAAUACUUAAUGAAUGUACAAUCUGGUUGUAAUAAUAUACACCGUGUUAUCGACCAAGUACGAUGCAUAGAAAUUAUUGAACAUGCAAUUAUUUGUUCACAUGCAUAUUGCAAUUAGUCAUCGCAGCAAUAUGCAUAGUGCAAUGGUAUGUAUACAUCUGAAAUGGUUUAUUGGUGCUUUGAUCAACUUGUGCAUCUCCUUACAAACUGCAGUGGGUAUGUUAUUUUAUCUAUAUGACUAAUACUAAUUUGCCUAUAAACACCUUACACGGGGGUGAUCUAUGAGGUACAAUCAGUUUACAAAUAUAUACAUUAUGUUAGAUGUUAGUUACUUGACCGUAUAUAUCUAUAAAAGGUAGUGUAAUGGUACACAUAAAUUUUGAAUGGGUAGGUGUUAAAAAAAUGUACAUCAUGUUAGGUAUUAGUUAUUUGACUAUAUAUACAUGUAAAAGGGAUAUUAGAUAUAGCGUAAAAAAAAGUAAUUACUUGAGUUGGAAUAUAUUUUUCCUGAUAAUCACGAAAUAUUAGCUGACUUGUGAGGGUAUUUAAGUCUUUUUGACCAUGAUGAUGUAAGAAAUGUGAACUAAAUUCUGAUUGGGGAAAUUUGUGAUAUUUUUGAAACCACAAAAGAAAAAAGUGAGACUGUCAGAAACCUCAUGGGAGGUAUCUGAAAUUAUCCCUUUUGAAUUUGCACCCCAUACACUCUAUUCUCCGUAACCAAUGUGUUACACUCCUUUAAAUCGGUGUAAAAUUUGCACAAUUUAAUGUAUUUUUCUACUGAAUUGACAUAAAUUAAUAUUUAAUGUAAUUUAUACUCUCAUUUUUUUUUAUCGAAAAUGAUAUACAAGUCACAUCGAACAUUGAUUUACACUAACUCAACAAAAGGAUGCAUUUAAUAUUACUUUUUUUUUAAUACACUAAUCGAACAAUUAAUCGGACAGUGUAAAAAAGGUAUAACAACCAAAUGCGUGAGUGUGACAAGGAUCCAGAGCCUCCAUCAUGUUGGCCAAAUAGCAUAUUUCCUCAUUCCUCUUCGUCUUUUGCUUCUUUCAUUCAUCUCGUAUUUUAGUUGUUGUGGCUGAGAAAAUUUCUCCAUAAUAGCAAGUAGGGUUCAAGAAUUCAAGAUAGCACCAAGCUUUAGGCGGAGAAGAUAUUCUCAGCACAAACUGCACGCUUUUCACCCCCCCCCCCCACCCCCAGUAUCUCAUGAAAAGGACUAUUGGGACCAAAGCAUAAUCACGUCGUCGGCAAUCGGCAUGCCCUAAUACUAACUGCAUGGUACUAAAAUAGAUUUUGAGCGGUAAAAAUUUAAUAUCCAGGUAAAAUCAGUAAAGUUUCUUGGUCCUCUUCCUGUACGACUUAGCAUGAAGUGUAUUUUUUCGAUUUAUGCAUUAACACACUGUCUAGAUCAGCCUUUUAUUUUUGACAGGGCCCUUUUCAGUAUUCAUAUACUUCUGAUUUUUUUCCUUACCAAAAAUAAUUGAAUAUUCUCUUUACAUUCUACUGAUUAAACACUACAAAGUUUUAAGAGAUGGAGGUAUUGCCGCAGAAGCUAUAAUUGAGUAAUUUUUGAAGGCACUGUAGCAAUGAUUUAGAUAGUUUCAAGUGUCGAUUCGUUCGUUAGUAAGAGUGAAACUAAUUCGAGAAAAAUAUGUAAAUAUAAGAAGACAAUAAUAUGUGAGAGUGUGGUUUAUAUGUGUUCAAUAAGUGUCGGAACAAAAUUUAUUUUUAAAUCAAUCAAACAAUUAUACAAAACUCGCGGAUGAAACAGUGAUUUAGUAAUCGAGAUUAAAAUUUCAAGAAUUAGAAAUUCCGUAGAUUCUACAUUUAAAUUCCCCCGCCGUCUUCCCGUUUCGUAUGUCCCAUCCAUUCCCUGCUACGGAAAAAAAAAAAAAAAAACUAUACAAAUUGUUAGUAUAAUUUUAGCUAGUGGACGGGAACUCGAAUCUUGAGUCUUGACGGAGUAAAAGUACCCAAAAGAUAUUUAGAUGGACAAAGCAAAGAAGAUCUUUUGAUUUUGGUCCUUCAAAUGAAUAGCAAUUGCUGCUACAUUUAUGGGGUCCUCUGCUUGCUUCCAGUUCCAGCAAGGCGCGUGCCAGUCUUGAAAAAAGAUCCCAACUCACUCUAAUAACCCGUGCCAGCUCAGCGGGUCAGAUCCGUACUCGCUCCACGCAUUCAUAAUUUAUUAAAGACCCGACACGCAUGCAAAGCAACCGCCUUACCCUUCCCAAAAAUCCCCACAAAAAUAUCACAGAGACAACUACUUUUCUUCUUUCCUUAAACCCCUCUGCCCACUUUCUCCUUCGCAGUCUCUCAUUUCCACCCACUGCCCUCGUUCGCUCAUUUCAACCCAAUAAUAAUAAUAAUAAAUAAAUAAAUAAAUAAAAAUAAAAAAGGGAAGGGAAAAUAAAAGAUUGAAUUGAAUUUCCAAGUGGGUUUUUGAGGCGGAGAGAUUUAGGAUAGGUAGGAUGAAGAUUCAGUGCAACGUAUGUGAGGUAGCUGAAGCAAGUGUACUGUGCUGUGCUGAUGAGGCGGCGCUUUGCUGGGCUUGUGAUGAAAAAGUUCAUGCUGCUAAUAAGCUUGCUAGUAAGCAUCAAAGGGUUCCUCUUUCUACCUCUUCUUCUCAGAUGCCCAAGUGUGAUAUCUGCCAGGUUUGAUUUCUUUCUUCUUGUUGUGGGUCUUUUUUUUUUUGGUCUGUUUAAUUCAGCUGAAUUUGAUGAGGAUUGUGGCUUUUAGUUGUUAAUUUCGUUUUUGGGUAUGAAGGGAUGCAACUGGAAUGUCGAAAUUAGCAUUUAAUUUGAUCAGUAGUUGAAACUAUCCCGAAUGGAUAAAUUUAUUUGAUUGGUAAAGUUCUAUUUUAAAACAAAAAAAAAAUUAUGAUAUGGUUAUUGGACAUUUUCCUGCUUUAAUAUUUUAUUUUUAUAAAAAAGUUCUGAUGUUUAGUUGUUAAUAUGCUUCUUGAUGUGAUGGGAUACAAUGGGAUGCUGAAAUUUGUAUUUAAUUUGAUUAGUGGUUGAAAUAUCUGAUGAAUAAGAUUAUUUUACUGCAAAAGUUUUUCUUUUUUAUUCUCCAUUGGUCUUCUCUAUGGUUAUUAUAUAGAGGUGAGGUAUGACCUGUUAAUUCAUGAUUGGUUGAGAAAGUGAUGAUUUUUCAACCUUAUUGUACUUAGCUUGUGGUUGUUAUCAAGCGUAUGGUACGAUUUUUUUGGGUUAAUGGUUGGAUUGCAUGCUGUGUCCUUUAGCUAAUCCAUUGAGUGGUUAGAUUGGUUUUAUAUAUUCUCUUAAUGGCUUUCGGGGGUUGGUAGUUGCUGAACUAUAAAUAGGUGUAAGCUGCCUCUGGUCCCUAACUUUUACUGUACCUAAAUUAGGAACGAUAUGGGAAAUAGAUGCUCUAUUUUUUUUUAUGUGGUAUUGAAAUAUUAAGAGGACAGCGAUAGACCUGGUACACCUAUAAUGGUUUAUUUAAUUGGGUAAAGGUUGUAUAUUUUUUUCUUGCCGAGUGUUAUGCGUGACGAAUCUCUUUCCUUAUCUAAUGCAACAGUUUUGAUAUGUUGUGGAAAUUAUGUGCAAGGCUUUGAUGUGCGAAUUGCUUCGCUUGUUUAUACUGAGCUUUACACUGAGGUCUGCCAUGUUAUUUUAUUGUAUCAAUGUGUCUGUUUCAUCAAGACCUUGCUUUUGGCCCACCGUUAAGCAUCAGAAUUAAUAAUAUAUAUAGGUGUAAGCUUUCAUGGUCGAGUAUUGAAUCAAUGAUUUAGUUUUACUAGGAAGUAGUAGAUUGGUUAAGUUUCAUUAUUUGAUUUCUCAGUAUCUACAUUUUUCAUCAAAACAAUCAGAGUAUUUGUAUGUCUCUAUUACUUUCUUAACUGCUAAGAUUCCUGAUGAAAAUUAAUCCUCUAAAUGAACUUAAAAACUGAAUGUUAAUGAAGAAUUUCUUUAUUCUGCAGGAGACAGUUGGAUACUUCUUUUGUCUAGAGGAUCGAGCUUUGCUCUGCAGGAAAUGUGAUGUUGCCAUCCAUACAGCCAAUACCUAUGUUUCCACUCACCAGAGGUUCCUCCUUACUGGAGUAAAAGUAGGGCUUGAACCUGCUGAACCUGGGUCAUCAUCAUUGACAGGGAAUUCUCACUCUGGUGAGAAAAUAUCAGAAACUGAACUCCGCCCUUCGAGGAGGCCUGCUCCUGUUUCCUCCAGUAGUCAGUAUAAUAAGGUGUUACCCACCCAGGUCAAUGGGGUUGGGGAUUUUGUCCCAACAAAGACUCGUUUAACUGGAGGUUCUGCAGCUGGAAGUAUUCCACAGUGGCAGUUUGAUGAGUAUCUUGGGUUAAAUGACUUCAAUCAGAGUUACAAUUAUAUUGAUAAUGGUUCAUCUAAGGUAUGAUUCAGGUCAUAAUGAAUCUUGUGGCAUUUCUUUGAUCAACAUAGGUGAUAGGCUAUUUCUAUGGCCACUGGCAACGUUCAUUUGAUUUCUUGAUCAUACAAUUCUCCAUAGGGAUAAUGGAUAAUUAGUUUCUUACAGAGUAUGUAUAUUACACACAGAGUAAUUGUUUAUUUGCACUUUGCAUAUGUCUGUUGUUGCUUGUGUAUGAACUUGCUUUCAGUCAAAGGUGAAGUUACUGCAUGGAGAACUGGACAUGUGUUGCAUUCUCUUGGAGUGGAACAAACUCCAGUCUUCCUGUGUACAGCAGAUGUUACAUGGCAUUGCUUGAUAUUUACAUCACUCAAGAAUCUAGUAGGGAGCAAAAUAAGUAUUGCACCCGGUUUUGAAAUGUUUGCAUGAAACGCAAGGCCUGGGCACGAUUCAGAGGAUAUACGGAUUGUCCAAAAUGGUGCUCAGAAUCCUAGGAUUAGCAAAUGUGGUUGGAUGGGUUUAUCACUCAGGUAGAGGUCUAGGCUCAAUGUUGGUUUAAUUGCUAAUCUAGAGGUGCAAUUGAUUUACUUAAGUUUUCAGGUGCAUUAAGUUUCAUGGUGCUUGGAAGAAACUAGAGCUUAUAUCUUACUGCUUGUGCCCUUAUGGACUUUUGAGUAAACAAUCACAUGAACAUGCAAUCUUUUUCCUUCAACUUGGAAAGACAUCGACCAGGGAAAAGAAAGACGCAGAAAGUUAAUGAAAGAGGGAAAAGGUUGGAGCCUGGAGGGGUUGGAGAGGCACAGAAAUUAACCCUUUGCAUGUCUUUCAACAAGUGACCAGUAUUUCGUGGUGGUCCUCCCUCAUACCCCAAAAAAAAAGAAAAAAGAAAAAAAAAGCCCAUUUCCCUCAUCUUUCUGGAACUUGCAGUUCAUGAUAUAUAACCGUUCUUUUAAGGUUAAUGAUAUAUAAUCGUACUUUUUAAUAUGUACCCUUCAGCCCUGUGUUUGUUUACUUGCUAGUUCAUUUUGGUUUCUUGAAUUUUUUGUCAGUUCCUAGUAGGCUGCAAUUUCAGGUGUUUAAGGGGCAGAAAGGUUUGGGAAUGGCUGAUUUGGCUAUUCUGUUGACUGACCCAACAAGAGAAUUAGGACACACUAGGAGAGGAUUUGGAACCCUUUCAGUACAUUAAUUGUCUGGAGGAAUUGAACUUUUAUUCCAAUGGAUAUAUUUAUAGGCCUUGUUUGUUGUUUGUAUUUCAUUUUUGAUGCACCUUUGGAACUGCUCUUUUCUCCUCUCAAAUCCCAAUUGUAACCUUCAUAGGCAACAUUCUCAACUUACUGUGACCCUGUAGAGGUCUGUAGGGAAUAAUAGCCGAUGCAGGCCCUAAUUGCCCCUGUUCUUUCGGUGAAUUCUCCCAGGCCGAUAGUGGGAAGCUUGGAGGCUCAGAUUGCUCCUCAAUUUUAAGGGCUGCUGAUGAAGAAUUAGAUGGUGAUGAUUGUUUAGGUCAGGUACCAGAAGCUUCCUGGGCAGUGCCAGAAAUUCCAUCCCCACCUACUGCCUCUGGACUCUAUUGGCAGAAGGCUUAUCAGAAUCCACCUGACACUGCGGUCUUUGUGCCUGAUAUAUCUGGCUCUCCUAUGCAGAACUUGUACAAUCAUCAGUCACAUGGUUCAACCUUCAAAAGGCGAAAGCAUUUCUGAUGUAGGCGUCCUCUGAAUUUUCCUUGCUUUAGGUCAUAAAGGAUCAAAAUUCUCUCAUAAGUUGGUGUGGUGUUGUGUUUGAAAGUAGCUUCGUUUCCUUAGAUUUAGAGCAGUUAUAGUAAUUUGUAUUUGCUUUUGGUGUCAUUCCUACCUUAUUGUAAAUAUAUUGUGUUAUUGUUCCAUUUGGGUGAUGUAGGAUUGUCAAAUUAAUACAUGAAAAUGCUGUAUCUUUAAUGUCUCCGAGUGAAAUGAGAUCUGCGUUGGAUAUUGACAAGGAUGUUUACUUGAAUUUCAUGACCAUUGUGUAGGAAAAAUAGCCAAAAACAAUGUUAAUUAAAACUAAUAAAAUGAGGUUUGAAUGGUGCUUAAUAGUACGGUUCUAAGAAAUUUUUUCAAGAGGUAGAAAUGUUUUUCUAGAAUUAAUCAAGCAUUUUUCUUGAAAUGGUUUUCGAGGAUUAAAUAAGUCUUCUUCUUAUUAUAAAUAAGAAAAAUCAGAACUAGUAAAUGUUACGUAAAUUCAACAGAUAGUGGAAGAAGAAGAAGAAGAAGAAGAAAGCUGUCAGGAAAGUUUCUAUUGUCAGCUCUGAGUGUGCUUUCUAAAGUGAAAGUAACUGCUAUUUAUAGGUUUUAAAAAGUGUGCGUUGGAAAUGAUAUGUAAAAUGUAAAAGAAAAAUUUGAGUGUCCAUUUUAAAGUGGGAGUAGUUGCCAUUUAUAAGGUUCAGAAAGUGUACCUAGAAAAAUUUGAGUGUGCUCUUUAAAAUGGGAGUAGCUGCUGUUUAUAGGGUUUAGCAAGUGUACGUUGAAGAGGAUAUGUAAAACGUAAAAAAAUAGUAAUAAUAAAUUUUACUUCUUGCUUGUGGGAAAAUUAUCUCUGGCCGUAUUUAACUCAUUUGCAGAAAGGGUGCAGAUCCAUCAGUUUGUAUUAAAACGGCUCAAUUAACUUUUCUCUCAUACAUGCACGUGAAUACAUAUUAGUUACCAAUCUAACACAAAUUCAAUAAAAAAAAUUAAGCAUUAUAAAGUGAUGAAAAGUCCGUUUGAUUUUUUAAUGUGGAAUAAGAACUUUUAAAAUAUUCAUUUAUUUACUGAUUACUUUAGAAUUGUAUGGGUAACUUACGAGCAUUAUAUUUGAUAUGAAAACAUAUUGGGUCUGUUAGGAUAGAGUGUUAUUUGAAAUAAUUAAUAUACCAUUUUUUAUGAUAUGAUGUAUGUGAGAUAAAAAGGUGAUUGCGAAUACAAAAAAAUGGGUUGAAAAAUACAUUUAUAAUGCAAGCAAAAUAUCAUUUAAAAAAAUGGAGUAUUAUUUGCAAAAUUUUUUUUACUGACAUCAUAAACAAGUUUUUUAAACAUAUUUUUAUGUUCUCAAUUAAUUUUUUUCUCAGAGCAUUAUUUCAAAUAAUCUCUGUCCAAGGACACAUUUUUUUUGGGAAUAAAAAGAUUAUGUGAGGAAAAAAGAUUAUGUCAGAAGCUGACACUUGUCUGCUGGAUGAGUUCCCCAUGUUUGAAUUUAUGUCACAUUUGAAGGAUCUGUAACGGUGAAUGAAUAAUAUUUAGUUUGGGUUUCCUCCGUGGAGUACUAGCGGUCCUGAAAAAUGGAUGAUGAACAUAAUUCUCUGCAAGUUGGUAUCGCGGAGAUGAAAUUUUCAGUGAAACAUCAGGGGAUUAUCUACUCUUAUCCUCUUGUUUUCUCGAAAGGAGCAGCAAAAGAGUACCUGUUCUGUAAUUAUACAUCAUCAUCUUCUUUAUUUGUGGCUUCUAAGUUUAACAGCAAAAGGCUGUGGUGGCAGCUCGUCUUAAGCCAAAUAUAUGGUCUCCGGCCAGUGAAAUUAGUAAUGCAGGGGGCACCUCUCUAGUCUCUCCCCCGUGAGGAAAAAACUGCACGGUGAGAGCUUCUGCUGUCCUUCUAAUAAUAGCUACUUCGGGAGUUUAGAAUGGAAAAGAAAAAAAAAAAAAAAAAGAGAAAGAAUAAGUCAGAAAGGAAAAGAAUCCAAUUUUUUUUGUAAGUUGGUUGGGAGUUUUAAAAAAGAAAAGAAAGUAAAUAAUUUCUUCUUUUUUUUCUGGGAAUUGAAGAAAAAUGGAAAAAAUAUAUACUCAAAUAAGUUAAUUUACAAAUACGCCCUUCUUAUAAACAAAUGUGAAUUAAGUAACCUAAUGGAGAUUUGGCCGUUUGUAAUGGUGGGAUUCAUCGGAGGAGAUUAAAAUUUUUUUUUGUAUCACGAUUUUAAGGAUAAUAUUUGUUAUAUUCGAAAAAAAUUCACUUAAGGCUUACGUGUCUUCCUUUCUUUUUCACCCAACUUUGGGGAAAAAGUUUUCAAAGAGAUUAAGGAAAGUCAGAUCUUUUCUUUUCUUUUUCAUUUUUACUGUCAAAUAAUGGAAAAAGUUUCAUAUCUUUUCAAAACUUUUUCUUUCUAUUCCUUUCCUUCCUCCCAAGCUCAAAGCAACAUGCAUAUGGCCCCCUCAAAAUUUUCAUUUUUGAGGUUUAGAGAAUAAUAAUCAUCCAACAAAAUUACUUGAUAAAAUGGAGGUGUAAUACAGAGAUCACACAGCUACUAUACCGGAAAUAAAAGCUAUUUUUUCCGUCAUCAAAAUUAGCAAGCUUAAAUGCGGAUCUUGUCUAGCCGAAAAAAGAGAUUGGCUUCCAAUUUCUGCUAGGACUUAUGUAUUUGAAUACAAGAUUCCACACUAAUAUACUAUGAUUAACUCUUGUUUUUCUGCACUUAAUCCAAAUCUUGUUUUUGAUUUUAGUUGCCUUCGGUUUUGUCUUGAUCAACACUGUUACUGCUGCUUGCACUUCCUUUUACUUCCUUGUGCAUGAGCUUCAACACUCUCUCAUAAGCUCCAAGGGCCAAUUCUAGCGUAUCAAUGGAUCUUUUCCUGUCCACUACUGAAACUGCCAAAUGCUCUUCCAUUUCCUUCAUCUCCGUGAUUGGAACAUACAGGUCCUUCUUACCAGAGAAGCCCAAAUCCCAUCUACCAAAACCAGCGACACUUUUUCUCAUCCUAGCCAAAGCUGCACUGACAUGACCAUUUACUCCUGCGGCUACUGCCAUCACAUUACUGAUGCUUCCCGUUUUCUCUUGAUCAACAACUUUGAUCAAAUCUCCUCGUCCCACGUCCCAAAAGCAAAGUUUUCCAUCUUCUGAUGCUGUAACAAGAUUCUUUCCCCAGUUCAUUGUGGCCAUGGAUGUGAUUGCAUCAUCAUGCUGCCUCUUCCAAGUGAUCAAUUGAGGUCCUUGUUUCAUCAUCAUUCUGGAUCUCACCUUAAGUGCACAUUUGUACACCAAUCCAUCUGACCCUGCAACAUAGAACUCUGACUCCAGGGGGUCUACUUUCACCUCCCAUAUUGUACAUGGAAAUGUAAUUGAACGGAGAGGUGAUGUGUGCAUGAGGCCCCAGAACUUGCACGUGCAAUCUGACGAGCACGAAAUUAUGGUGCAAUUGCAUCCACCGGUGCCUGUUGUGAUGGUCGUUACUGAAGAUUGAUGGCCAACGAAUCUUUGCAGUGGUGCCGAAUAGCUUGAACUUCUGGAAGAAAAUGAAUCCACAAGCCGAUGUAUAGGGAACACUGCAAUGGUUCCGUCAUCACUGCCUGAGAAAAGAAGUGAUCCAUCGUCGUUGAUUUCCAGGCAGGUUAUGGCUUUGGAGUGGGCAGCAACAGACAGAAUUAUAUCUCCUGAAGGGAGUGAGAUGGAGUGUACAUGACCAGAUACACCACCAGCAAAGAGAUACGAUCCGUCUCGAGUAGCAACAAGGGGUGCAACAGGUUCAGGCAUGGGGAGUUGAUGGAAGGGAGCGGAGUACCACCAGUGAUAGAGGUGAACUGAGCCAAGGCCAGUGUCUGAACAAACAUGAGAAGCAGCAAUCAGCUUCUUACCGAUCAUGGUUAGCCCUUUACGAGGCGUUCGACUGCCAUUGUACUGACCCAGGCUAGAACCUGAGUAAGCAUCAUAAGCAGUGAUUCGACCAUCAGGGGAGCUAGUAAGGACAAACUCUUGCACAAAUGAUGCCAUUUUCAGGCCGGAAACUCGAAUGAAGAUUGUGAGCUUAACACGAGAAGGGCAUGCUUCUACUAGCUUUUACACAUGUAGCUGCUGGAAACUUGGUCUUAGAAAAGGAGUUGGCUCUCUACUCAAAACUGUUUUAAUAUACUCUUAACAAGUGGCAAUGUAAAGGGCAAUUACAGGUUGAUUUAAACAAACUGUCCAAUACAGUAUAUUUUGUUGACAGACACAUAAUCAUCCAGAUGGAGCUUCCAGGCCAGUCGAAUAAGAGUUGCAUGAAACUGCCUUCUGCCUGAAGUCAACCUUUAGUUUUCUUGCGUCAUCGUGUUUCAUCAUGCUGAUGUAUGCAUUUCUGCUUUUUCUUGAUCAGCCCUUAGCAUUUUGAUUAAUGGCAGUAUUUACCUCCUUUUCCUCCGCAUAUUGCAAAACUACGCCUUGACAAUUCUUUGAAUUUGCAAUGAAGAAAAUUGUGGACCUUGCAGCCAGAUUUGCAAAACGUAUUAAUUGAAGAAAGGACUUGUCACAAAAAUCUGAUUCUUACAAAGAUGUCAAGCUGAUGCCUUAGCUACGUCAGGCUAUCUUUUCUGUUCAAGAAAAAGGGUAUAUUAAAAUACCCACCAGUUGAGAACUUGAGAUCAAGAAACCACUUAGCAGGUAUUCAAAAAGAGCACUGGACAAUCGCCAGAUCCAGCCAAUACUCUGCAUCUUUUUAAGUAAUCGACGAACCUCUAAUAGAAUAUUUUUAGUAACGGAAAUUAAAGAAAAAGGCAAAAAAAAAAGGGUCCAAAUCCAGGCUCUAAUUUGUCCUCUAAUGCUGCAUUUUCUUAAUCAGCAUGCACUGUUGAAACUCUUCUUGAUUAUAAAGUUUACCAUCUGAACCCAAUCAUUGAAAAGCACGAAAUAAUGUAUCAAAGCAAGAGAAUAAGUUAAAAAUGUUUUCUUGCCAAUCAUCUAGCACACAGUCGAUGCUAAUAACAGAGCAUGAAAGUACAUAAAAUUAGUUAAUGAUUAGUUCCACUAAAGUUUACAGGCUGGAAAAUUUUCUACAAGCGGUGAAGAAUGACGUGCAACGAAUUCAGAAGAAAAGGUUCAGACACUUGCACUAAAUAAAGAGAUUGGGUUAAUCACUACGUUGUAUCUCAGGGGUCACUCAUCGAGGAUGUGUUUCUCAUUAGAAUUCACAAUAGCGGGCUAUAUCCUGGAGUUUUGCCCUCAAUGGCGUCCAUUUUUGAAUCUGCUUUCUUCCAUGCACGAUUGCUUGUUGCUGACACAAGCAGUAACAGGCUUGAAAUCAUAUGCCUAUGCUUCCUAAUGAUGGUAUCUAUGAACUAUUUUCGGUAAAUUUGCUACUUUUGGAGUAUGAGUUGCUGCAUUAGGACUGCCAAAAUGCUGCCCAAGGAUAUGUUGAUGAUGUUGACAGCAUCAUUGUUAAGCUGCAAAUCGGCGAAAGGGAGGAAGGCGAUUAAGUUAAGCAAAGGAAUGGGACAGUUUGUAGACAUAGAUCAAACACACAAGGGAGAAGCAAUCCCCAAGGGAGAAGUGGGAAGAGGGAAGGGAGAGGGGUUGGGUGCUGCAGAAUCUUAUUGUGACAACAGAAUUUUCAUGAUAGCACCUACCCAUUUGAAUCCUUCUUUUCCUUGGAAUUCUGCACCAAUAAAACUCUCUCCAAGAUUAGCAAUCUGGGAAGCUACUACACAUAUAAUGGCCUCGGAUGGUUUAAUCUGUAAAAGAGAAAUUUUCUUAGUGAGAGCAUGCAGUGCGUUCACUUACAUAUACCACUAACAGAAGUAAUCAUGUUCCUCAUAUGAUGAAAAGCACAAUUCCUCAGCAUUAUUGCUACUUCAAUCUGCAUAAUCGAGGUGUAAUUAGUUCCCCCUGACACCUACAUAAUAUUACACACGCCUAUAUAUCUGAUGCGCAUCCUCAAUCCAACCCACAUUCAACAAAAAAGCAGAGCACAUUGCGAGUAAACUCCAACUACCUGGACAGUCCAUUUGAUUCUAUUGUAUCAACCGUUGCCUGUAUUUUAUACUCCAUUAAUGUGUGUGUGGUCUAACGAAGACAAAAGGACUUCUAGGUUACAAAUUUAGCAUAAAGUAAAUUGACAGAGAAUGCCAAACGAAGAAGAAUCCGAUGGAAAUGACAUACAUUACCCAUUAGACAGCCAACUGAAGCAAGAAGAAUUGAAGCCAGUAGUCCAGCCAAUGUUCCUUCAACACUCACAGCACCUUCUGUUCCUCUAGGUACCACCUUAAACGUAGUGACCAAAUAUCUGCAAUUCAAGGAUUGACAGUUGAAACAUGAGAGCAAGGAAAACAUACAUCCUAAAAAGCCAUGACUUCUAAUCCAGAAUAACUCUUCAUCUCCCCUCUAAGAUAAACACAGAUCUUUUAGAUGGACACAUCUGGUGAAGAACAUACACCAAAAGCAAGCUUUGAUUACCUAAACGAUUAAAUUUAGGUGAAAUGAAACAAAAGGAAUCAGGAAAUAAAAAGUCAAAUUUAUUCAUGCAUAAAUUGACAUGUGUUUCUUCUUUUUCCCCUUUUCAGUUGGUUUCUUCCUGUAGGAAACUAGGAGAACUCAAUGAAAAAUAAGAGACAGUACUCACGUUGUUCUGCCAUACGCCUUCCCUAUCUCACUUGAUACGGUGUCACUCAACUUUGUACAGAAACUAGCAACAAAUCCAAGCAACCAUAGCGGGGAAAAUGCCUUUCCUCCUAUCCUAUAAAUCGAUAAGACAGCACAAACACAUCCAGCUGCACUAGAACCAAUCACACUGCCAGGUCCUCUCCUUCCCUUUCUCUUCUCAGCAACUCCUUGAGCCUCCUUUUGAGCCAUUUUCACCUUUGUUGCAGCAGUGCCCUGACAAACUUAUAUUCAUAAAUCUACUUUCUUGUAGUAGCACGAAUACAUGAUUGAUUCCUGAUCAAGUUCUCAAAUAUUUCUACUUUCUAUCCAGUCCCACAUACUUGUAUGCGUUGAAACAGUUUUAAACAACACAACAACAAAAAGACUGAUUUACACACUAAUGAAUAACAGAUAAGAAAAUCAAAGUACCAGAAAAAUGUCCUUUCUAUAUGCAAUCGAUGGAUCAAGGAUUAGCAUUAAUUGGUUUAUAUUAAUUUUUUAAGGAUGAUAGCCUAUUCAUAACUGCAUAAAUUCCUUUUAAUGGAAAUCGCAAUCCAAAACCAGGUGUAAUCUAACUUAAGCAUUAAACGAAAAACCUCCAAGAACACUCAUCAACUCGGCAGCAUAAAGAUCAAUAAAGAUUUGCUUUUUACUCACAAGAACAGAAAAUGGAGCCAAUCCAAAACUAGUUAUACUCAUAUCAAAUUUAAAGAAAUCCCGUUACCAUAAUCAACUUAACUGCAUCUUCAUGAAAUAUCGAAUAAGAUUUGAUUUUGACUCACAAUAACAAAAUACGAAGCAACAAGGAAGAACCCUGAUGGGCCAAAAGCGCGCCAUGUGAGAGUGCCAAGCAAGAAAGCAGCUGCAAUGCCAGAUAGAGACAAACCAGAGACCAGAAUUGGACUGCCCAGAAUAAAGAUUAGGAGAUUACUCAGCAGAGAAGAUUGCCAUGUUGGUGGCGAAGAUUGGACCAAUUUAAUUGCCUGUUGUACUAGGCUUAGAUCGGUGGCCGCAGCUAAUGGUGUGGUAAGCAUUUUUUUGGGCGUUUUUGGUCUGGGAUUCAGGGAGAAAGUAGAGGGUUUAAAGGGUAUUGGGAGAUGAGUUGGAAAUGCUGUGAUUUUGGGUUUUUGAGGGUGAAGGAACGGUGGAGAUGGUGGUGAUGAUGGGAAACUUAAGAAGGUUGACAAAGGAAUUGCCAUUCCUUGAGAAGAUUCAUACACUUUGGGACUGUGGACUUGGAGUGGCUGACUGAAGUUGGAAAAGAAGAUGCCAAAAGUGCUUAGGAAGGAAUUACUCAUUAAAGAAAAUAUAGGGGCAGUAUUGCCUAACAAAAACUUUCUGGCAGUACAGAAGUAAAUGUACUAAAAUCAGCAUUCUCUGCAUCCAUACUAGUGUAUUUGGGUAAUAGAUUAUUUAGAAUAAUUUUUUUAAAAAAAUAUUAUAUCAUUUUUUUAAUAAAAUAUAUGUAAAAUAAAAAAUAAUUAAAAAAUAUGUCGAUAAUACAAAUAAAUAUAUUUUUACAAAUAAUUGCAGCCGAAAUGGUUUGUUCAUAAUUUUGGUUCAUGACUUCACUCGAGCACGUAAAGGACUUGAAAUACCAGUACAACAACAACUAAAAUGAUAGUCUAAUAAUCUAAUCAACUUUUAUUGUUCUUUAUGGUGUUUCCCUUUUUUUUUUUUUUAAGAUUUAGGCAAAUGAAGAUGUUAGUAUCCUUAUAAAACUAUUAAUAUUUCUUUUUUCCUUUUUUUUAAGUGCACAAAGGACCUAAUGAUGAUUCGUUAAGUAAGUACAAAACUUGACAUAAUAAUGCCAUUCAAAUUACAGCCUAACAAGCCUCUAAUUUCAGUUGAUGAUAGUUCCUCAAUAAUUAAUCAAAUUACAAUUUUUGUCCAGUUUGUAGAACUAUCAAUGAGGUGUUAUUCAUAAAUUCAAUUCAUUCCACUUUUUUGGGAUGACGUUGGCUUGAUGAGUAAAUGCUUAAUAGUGAAAUUAUUUUUUCAAUUGAAUAUGAAAUUUAAAUACUUGAGUAUUGAUUAAAAGAAAAGAGUAUAGUAUGUCGUAAUUAUCAUGAUGUGUGCUACAUAGAUGAUUAAUAAAAUACUGAAUUAUAAAGAGAGAAUAUGAUGAUUAAUAGAAUACUCAAUUAUAAAGAGAGAAUACAUAGCUCUUCUAAUAAAUUAUGAAAUUCUAAUACAUUGUAUCAUUGCAUGUAAUGGGGCGAAUACGUAAUUAAAGGGUUAAUGUAUUUGGAUUUUCUGAAACAUAUUUUUUAUAGAAAAGAUAUUUUAUUACUCAAAAUCCAAAAAAUCGUCCCACACAAUUUAUUUGACAAUGGUGAGAAGAGAGUCAAAGGGAUUCGACAGAGAUUUUGGCAUAACAAAUCUCUUUGUGAUGCAAAAUCACAUUUUGAUCUCUUUAACUCAACAACAAAUUAACAACGCCAAAAAAAUAAAUAAAUAAAAUAAAAAACAAAUGACAGAAAAUGAGAUAAAAAGAAAAGAGAAAAAGCAAAAGUCCUUUUGCUCCCUAUCUUAUCUUCACCUCUCUAUCGCGACUCUCUGCUAGUAGUUCCCGCAGAGCUCUGCAAAGGCCAAACAGGAAGAAGUAGAGUCCAUUUUCAGCAAAAAUGGCAAUACAAUGUUCUACAUCUUCUCUGUUUCUUAGCUCCUCUUCGCCAGUGGCCUUUUCUUCUUCUUCUUCUUCUUCUUCUUCUGUAAAGAAGAGCCCUUUUCUGGGAUUCUCAAUUUCUGCCGCCUUAUCAUCAACAAGGCCGUCCCUCAUCAGAACCAAACCAAAUGCUCUUGUCCGCUGCCAAAGUAAAGAUGCUGCUGUUCACAUCCCUGUGGACCAGAGAUGGAUGUUUGAAGAAUCUGAAAUUAAUGGCCCUGUAAAAAUUCUUCCUUGCCAUUUUAAUUAUGUAAAAAAGAUUUUAUCUUUUCAUCAUCAGGGUGUUUGCUGGAAAGAGAUGGAAACUCCAAUUGAAUUUCUUUUGCACCUCAAGAUUGAGCUUUUUUUUUUCGCUUAAUUUUUAUGGUUCUAUCAGUUGAAUUCUUUGGAAACAUGAUAUUAGUCUGGGUUUUCUCUCGCUGCUAUUUUGAUUAGCUUUGUGGCUAUAAGCUGCGAAAAUGCUGAUGUAGAACUUGCUUGUUAGGAGGCAACAGUGAUUAAGUGAGAUGAGUAAAUUUCUAGCUGUUGUGCAGCAAUGAGAUGUUACCACAUUUUUUACUAUUUUAAAAAUCUGCAACUUUUAAGUUGUUUUAGGGACGAUAUAGAUGGUGGAUAAUUGGAUAAACUCAGUAUGGAGAGUGAUUUCUGAGACUCGUAUUUUGCACUGGGUAUAGAAUCCCUUGUUGGAUUCGUGUAUUGAGGAAGUUAAAUGCCAAAAGUUAGUUUAAUUACCAGGAAAUAGAAAAGAUGUAUCUCAUCAACUGUCGCAUUUCUGCUAGAUGAUAUUUUCCUGUUAGAAACUUGGGAUGUUUAUGUAAGAAGAUUUGCAGCUUGCACCUUCUUGUAUGGGAAGGACCUUGGAAGUUAUUAUAGCACCAUUUGGAAGUAGGGAGUUUUGUUUUCCCCUGUGCCCGUAUCUAUCGAACUUUACUAGUUAUGGGAAAGACAUUCAACAAUCUAAUGUUUCUGUGAAAGAAGUAAAAAGAAGAGAACUAUGCUCCACCUUGGCACCAUUAUGGUAAUUAUCGUUCAGCAUGCGAUUUCAGGACCAUAUUGGGUAAAUUUCAGUCCAAUUUUUUUGCCGCAUUCGAAUUAGUACGUUACUGAGAAAGCUCCACUCUUUUGUUUACUGUCUAAAGAGAAUGGCUUCCUUGCAAUUAGAACUUGAUUCCAUAAUAUGUGAUAUUGACUGUUUUCGAAGUCGUAUACUUGGUCUCUCAUCUUGACUCACUAAGUAGGCAUCAUUCGUUUCUUUAAUGAUUCUCCAUUGAUCGUGUGUCUUCUAAUAGAUUUUCUCACUUGCAAAUUGGUAUUGGAAGUACUGGGUGAAAAGUGUUAAUAUUUCAUCUACAUAUGUGCCUUUCUGAUGCAGUGUGAUUGUUGAUUCUGUAGGAAAGAGCAUAUAGAUGUCCCAUGUCGUGCUUAACCGAGAAUUUGAUAACCAUUUGUUCUCUUUCUACUUGUCCAGGAUAUUUGGAACACAACAUGGUAUCCCAAAGCUGCAGAUCAUGUAAAUACUGAUAAACCCUGGUACAUCGUUGACGCGACUGAUAAAAUUCUUGGCAGAUUAGCUUCAACUAUAGCUAUCUAUAUCAGAGGGAAGAAUCUAGUAACUUAUACUCCUAGUGUGGACAUGGGAGCCUUUGUCAUAGUGGUAUGCUUACUUUAUACUCUGGAGUUUCUGUGUGUUUUAAGUUCUGCUAAUUCUUGGCCGCCAACCUCUUUCUGGUGUGGGUUGUCAUGGAAAACUCCUGGUUUUUCCCAUAUGUACAUUAAGUUAUAGAAUGAUCCUCGCAUGUUUCUCAUUCUAUUUUGAACAUUUUUUCUUUCUUCAGUACUUUCUCAAUACUGUGCUUAGUCAAACUAAAGCAUUAUAUUUGGGAAAACUAAAGGUGAUGGAAGCAAGGGAUUCUUCUGGCUGCUUGAAAUGGUGUUGGGGAAGAGGUUGUCUUUUCCCCCAAAUUUCUAUCCAGGACAAAGCAUGUGUCGCCUAUAUGGCUGAUAUUUUUUAGUCUGUAGUGGGAUAUGUUUUCUCCUGUAAUUUCGUGUAACUGUCCACAUUUUGACAUAGUUGUUUAAUGUCUUUGAAUUGUCUCCAAGGACAUUACUAUGAUGGCUUAACCUGAAUGCCUUGCCUUAUUCCUUCAAGUGAGCACUUAUGUUCUAUUUAUAUGUCAAAGGUUAAUGCUGAAAAGGUAGCCGUAUCUGGCAAGAAGAGGAACCAAAAGCUUUACAGAAGGCAUUCAGGGAGACCUGGUGGGAUGAAAGUGGAAACCUUUGAUCAGCUUCAAAAGAGAAUUCCUGAAAGAAUCAUUGAGCAUGCAGUCCGUGGCAUGCUUCCAAAAGGGCGGGUGAGUAACUGCGCUCAAUAUAAAGUUCACAGAUAACAAUCACUUGUUGCUUAUCCCAUCUUAUGUGUGCCAUUAAUUAUUCACAUUCUUUGUUCUAUAUGCAGCUCGGAAGAGCAUUAUUCAAUCAUCUGAAAGUAUAUAAAGGCCCAAACCAUCCUCACGAGGCACAAAAACCCGUUGACUUGCCCAUAAGGGACAAAAGGAUACAGAAGUAGAUGGUAUCCAAAUCUAUCAGGUGAUCAGCUGUCAGUUUACCUUCUGCUUCUUUUGGUUCAGCAACUCGUCAGUUCUAUCUGAAGCAUCUAAUUAAAAUUUCACCUUUUUUGGAGGUCAUUUUGUAGGUUUCAUUUGUCUAACUGAUGUAUUAACCAGAUUCAAUUGGGUACUUAUACAGCAUACUUCUCUUAAUUAGCUUUGAAGCUUUGAGAGAAAGAUUCUCUAAAAACAAAAUGUCUGAUGCCUAUUUGCAUACACACGGUCAUGACACGUGGGUAAAAUCACGUCAAGGAGUUAUAUCAACAGUUCCAUUCCAUUCAGCAAUGAUUUUCCCUUUCUUUACCAGGUGAUGAAGGAAAAGAAAAACAGCUUUGAUGAUAUCUGUUAAGUUUAAUAAAAUUCACAUGCAAAGUGGACAGGAUGGCCAAAUAUUUAUUCCUAUCAAACAGGGAGCUCGUUCUAUUUUGCCUGAGAAGUUAUUUCGGUUCUGUCAGUGAUCGAAAACUAGAUUGCAACUGAAAACCAUCCUUGCCCCUUUCUGACGAAACAAUGAGUUAAUGGCAUGCCGAAAUGUGCAUUCUGUAGUUCAAGAUUUUCACGCAAAGUGAGUUUGGUAUACUGGGAUGUUCUAGGAAAAUUACACUUAGCUCUCUAGCAGCAUUGCGUACAGGAGUUCAUUCCAGGUAUCUGGAACUCCAGCAAGGCACCAAUGACUACAAUCAAGAGCCCCAUUUGCAUAGUUUGAUGGAUGUCCAUCCUUUCUUAAUUGAGUAAGCAAUGUUAUAUCUAGCAGGUAGACAGGCUUGGUCAUGUUACCUAGUACAUCCUUAACCACUGCUUCCCCUGGAUAAUGUUGGCCUGGGUAGUCUGCUCCUUCUACUGCCUUAGUUUGUCCCCUGCAGUCCUGCACUGCUGGUUCAUUCCAUUCACUCCCACUGGAUAUAAUUCCCAGCAACAAGUCAGAAACAUAUUCUGAAAAAUGUUAAAACUAAGACAAGCCAAAUAUUUUACAAGGAGGAGUAUUGGAGCUUACUGAUUGUGAACAGCAGAAAUUCCUUGGAAGAAAACUUUAGUUUUGCCAGGAUCUAUAUUGGAAUCGAUCCACUUGGCCCAUGUUGUCAAGGCAAUCCUGUAUGCCUCCAUGCGAUCCAUGUCCUUGAUCAAAUUCUCACCAACUUGAAAAUAGUCCCAUCUGCAACAAAGAAUCAAGGUACUCGAAUUAAGAUUUCCCUGUUUCAUCGGAUUUCAAAGUCGUUUUCAAUAAUUCCAGUCGAAUAUAAAACUGUACGUUUGAAGUCUUCCUGUGUGUAUCCACCAGUGGUAGCUGUUGAAAAUCAGAAUGUCAACCCCUUUCCAGUGCUGAGUUCUACUUAAUGAAUCAAGCUUUAGAACUCGGCCUACUUCCUCUACCACCAAAUCCACCAAAAAUCCAUUCUUCAAGAACGCUGUCGACAGCCCAUAUUCCUUCCACAAGUAAAAACAGAGUAUCAGUGAAAGUGGGGCUAAAAUCUCAUGCCAAGUUAAGUUGAGUGAAUUUCAUCAGAUUAUAUUGCUCUUUCCACAGUAAGUUGCCAACCUACCGGAAAAGAAAGAUUUAAGAGUGCUCCUCCACCAGAUCUCACUAAGGUAUAAUUAGAACUCGGGACUGCAAAAUGCAGCAUGCAGGCUAGUGACUGCCACUGGUUAUUGCUUAAAGAGUCCCCCACAAACAUAAUUUUCUGACCCCUGAACUUUUGCAGAAAGUUUUGCCCAUCAAACCUGUGCCAAGUUGUCCUCAUCAUCAUUAUCAGCCCAACAAACAAAAACGCCAUAGCAAGAUAUACUAUUAACCAAAAAAAAAAAAAAUUCACAAGCAUCCCUCUUCGAAUGUUAGCAGAUUGACAUUAAUAAACAACAGAGGAAAAACUUCAGCAGCUUUUGGAGAAAAGGACAGAAAGAAACAAAAAGAGAACAAAGUUUCACGUUCUUGAACUUCUGGAAUGUGGGGCAUGAAAGAUAUUAGCAAAUACAGCUAAACUACAUGCAAUCAAUCUUGGCAGCUUAAAUGGAUAUAUUCAAUUACCUUGGAAGCUCACAACCAAUCGGAUUCCAUCUGUACUCUAGGUACAUACUAUCAGGUCUGCCAUUUUUCUGGCAAUUGAGCCCAGGAUCGAUGAAGGGGCAGCUCAAUGCAUCAUAAUAAAGCGGGUAUGAAUCAUCAAGAACCCAACUUCCCUUGAAAAGAUCACAGCUUUCUGACCGUGUUCCUUGUUCAUCUUCACAUUCCACAUUUGAUUGGUUAGACAGAAAUGUAACAAGGAGUACCACAAUUUUGCAGCGAGAAGCAUGUGUACCCAUUUCGGUAAAGUUUGUCCUUUAUGGAGAGAGAGUUAAAUUCUGACGGAGUAACGAAACUUUAUUAUUAUUAUUAUUAAAAUAAGUAGCAGCAAUUAAGGCAUCUCCUAAAUGCCAAGUGUUUACAGGGUGUGGAAGUUUGUUCUUAGUAGUAUGUCCUUUACAGUUUCCUAGGAGGCUUGGAUGCCAUGCAGCUUACAAAAAUAGAUUGUGGAUAUUAUGUGGCAUGUUUCUAUAUAUUAGCAAUAAUUCAAGGAAACCUGAGCUUUCAUCUAUUUAAUAAUGAAUAGCAAACAAUUCAUCAUUGAGAUAGUAUCAAUUAAAUAUUAGGAAGUGAUCACUUCAAUUGAUGCAAAUGACUGAAAAAAUGGACAGAGCAGAUCCAGUGGUUAUGUAUCUAGAAGGGGCAUUUUGCCUUAUUCAAGUGUCAAACUUCUUGUAAUGAACUUUUCCAGAAAGAUGGAUUUUCAUUUCAUCCACUAACUUCUUGCUUUUAUUAGAGAAUUCUGUUAAUUUUUGAGGCAUAGUUGUCUAAUUUGAGAAUCAGAAGAGUAUCAAAUUCUAUUAAAAUUCUGACUUUUUGCCUUGUACUGAUUACCAGGCGAAAGGGCAAAUAUAUGCUCCUUUGAUUGCAAUUGUCACGUACAAGAGUCACCAUUAGCUUCAACCAAAUAAAAACAAAUAAUAUUAUUCUAUCCAAAAAGAAAAGGAUAAAAUUCAACAAUAGUUUGUUUUUCUUCACUAGAUAGCUGCAUUAAUUGAAUCAAUGAAUGAAUCAACUGUCAUUUUAGUUGUCCAUUUCUCACAAGGAUUCCAUACAAUAGUGCAUUCCAAGCAUCAGGAACACCAGGUAGACACCAAUGGCUGCAAUCCUUUCCUUCAUGGCUAUCAGGGCCAUCACCAUAAAUUGAAGGAUGCCCAUCUUUCCUUAGCUGUGAAAGUGUGGUUACAUCUAGCAAAGUCACCGGGGUGGACAUGUUAGCCAGUACUUUCUUCACCACCGCCGCAGGUGGUGGUGGUCCGGCAGGGUAUUCAGGAGCCAGGAUCGGCCGAGUUUGCCCAAUGCAUGAAGAUUUUGCUAUUGGAGCAUCCCAUUCCUUGCCACUAUAAUACCAUACAAUAUGAAGGAGGAAAUAAAGAGAAGAUAAUAUGAAUAUGUCAUUUCAUUAAUCUUAGUAGAAGUUAGAAGUAAGGGGGCAAAAUGAAGGCUUGUUUUGGUCUGUUUUCUAUUUUGCAAAUGCUGAUUACAUACAGAAAGUGAUUAUAGAAAAUGAUCAGAAUCAAUUCAAGCCAUUCUAGAUUUUUUUUAAAAUUUUUUUUUUAUUUCUAUCAAAAAUUCUAAAUUGUAGGUGUUAAAAAAAAUAAGAACAUCAAAAAUAUUAAUGAUUCAAAAUUAAAAUCUAAAAUCAAGCAAAUAAAUAAUUUCAAGUCAGAACGACUGAACAAGUCCCAUUGGACUACACUCUGAUCAAUAGUGGACUUCUUUGUUUGUUAGGGAAGAAGGGCUUACUCGUAAUGGGUUGGAGAGAUGCCCUGAAAAAGGACUUGGGUUUUGGAAGGAGCCACGUUAGAGUCCACCCACCUGGACCAUGUUUUCAGGCCCUUCUCAAAUGCAACCAAAGGAUCCAUGUCUUUAUAAAGUUUGUUUCCUUCUUGAAAAUAAUCCCACCUGACAUCCAAAAUAGACCAGUAAGUAAAAAUCUCUCUUUUUUUUUUUUACUAAAAAAUUUUUUAAAAAAAUACACUAGUAAGAACAUACACUACUUCUUUUUUUUUUUUUUUUUUUUUUUUUUAUAAAAAUACCGAAGGGGUUGACUUCACAAGCUGUUGCAAUGUUGAAAAUAGUUGAAUUUCUUGCUAACAAUGAUGGCAUUUUCCUUUCCAAAAUGUAUCUUAAUCAAUUGUUACCAAGAUUUGAUCCUAUAAUUAUGCAUGUCAAUGUCUAGUGAUGGUAAAUCGGUCUGCACUCUUGUAUUCCUAAACAAAGUCGUUACCAAGGAGGAAAAAAAACAAGAUUCAUGGUGUUUUUGUUUCUUAUUUUUGAAAUUUACGAGUUGGGAUUUAAAAACCAUAUAGAGAUUGAUCUUGAAUAAAACCCAGAUUUUUGUCGAAACAGAAAGGUUUGGUUUCUCAAGAACAUUAAACAUUAAUUGAAGAAUAUUGGUAGCACAAUCUCACGAUCUUGAUCUUCCUUUGUGGAGCCACCAAUGCCAAGUGUUAAAAAUAAGCACGUCAUAACCCCUCCAUGCAUCCCCAUUUUGUAUGGAGUCAAGCUUCAGAAUUCUUCUGUUAUUCUCUUCCACCAAAUCCACCAGAAAUGCGUUACGAGAUAGCAUCAAAGAAACAUCAUAUUCCUGCCAUCAUUCACGUAAUGUGGAUUAAUUAAUUAAUCAAUGGAAGAGUCUGCUUUUCUUGCACUAAAUGAUCAAAGCUAAAAAGGCAUGCAUGAGAUCAAAAAUUAAUAGAUGAGCCUACAUAAAAUCAGAGAAACUCACCCUGAAAGUAAAAGUAGAGAGGUUGCCUUUCUUUUGAAGAUUGUAAUUUGAUUGGGGCAGAGCUGCGUGCAACAUGCAUGCAAGGGACUGCCAUUGAUUGAGGCUCAGUGAAUCCCCUACGAACAAUAUCUUCUUCCCUCUAAAUUUCCUCAAGAAAUGUGGAGCAUUAAAUCUGCAUUUAAAAAAAAAAACAUGAAGGUUACAUUCUUGGCCUUCCUUAUCUAAUUAUCAAAUUAAAUGUCAAACUUAAAAAUGGUACUAAAUGUGAUCACCACAAAAAUAAAACACUUUUAUAGUUGAAACAUUAAAUUUUUUUUUUUGGGUUUUUUGGAAUUGGCGAUCAUCAAGCCGGGAUGGGAUGAGGAUUUAAAAUUCAACAUCUAUUUUGUGCUUAGUGCACGUAACGCCUUACCAACUGUGCUAACUCUUACAACAAAAGAUAUCCCUUUCUCCUUGGGUAUACUAUUCUACAAACCGUAAACUAUAAUGAAACGUACUGAGGCAAUUCACAUCGGUUGGGCUUCCAUUUGAACUUGAGAUAGAGUUGAUCAGGGCGGCCAUUUCCCUGGCAAUCAAAUGGCUUCUCGAUGAAUGGACAAGAAGACGCAUUGUAAAGGGGAUAUGUGUCAUCGUAGCUCCAACUUCCUUGGAAGAUAUCGCAGCCGCUGCUAAUUGAUUCUGAUGAUCUCUUAGAGUUAUGAGAAAGCUCUAGCAACAAGGCAUUGGAUGAUUGUUGAACAAAUAUGACAAAAAGACAUAUAAUUAGAAGAAAAGUAUUCACAGAACGAAAUUGACCACUUCCCAUCUUGUGAGAAGAAAAGGAGUGAGAUGAGGUGAGGGAACUUAAGGGAGAAUGCAGCAUGAUGAAGCUUUUAAUGAAGAAAACAAAGGCCAUAUAAGAUGAGUUUGAUAGGCUGUUAGUUGGUGCCUGGUGGUGUUUGAGUUGUUAGAUUGAAUGGCUUGGGGAGGGGAAAUCUGCAAUUUUUUUUUUUUUUUAUUGGUUUGGGGUUGAUUCCCCAGCCUGUUUUGCUCCUUUUGGCAGCUGAACUUAUUGGUGGGAGCUGUGUCCUUGCAGUGGAGUAUACUCCUUUUUAUCCAUCAUUCCUCCUCCAUGAUUGUUUCAGUUUCAAAUCUAGUCUUCUACGGAAAGCCUUCUUUCCUCUAUUUCCGGUUUGCUUGCUCAAAGAAACAAGGGAGGCCCAAAGCUUGUUGAAACAAUGGCAACAACAUCGCUAAGAUAAAAAACAGAUGACAAUUAAUAUCGGUUUCGUCUGGAAGGUAACGGGUUCGAAACCUUAAAGUUGUGAAGUUAAUGUUAUAUUCCUGUUCUGUUUCUUCAUUAUUCAGUUUAAAGCUAGUUAAUUUGACACCACAUUUAUUGUUUCUGUAGUUCUUUUACAUACUUUUGUUUGAUCAUAAUUUUGCCUGUUACAUUAGCCAGAAGUUUGACUGUUACACUUUAACAUGAAAAUGGGGUCCCAUAUUUCUCCUAAUUACGAAGGCAUAUAAUAUGCUGUUUGUGGUUUGACCCGUAAUGAAACCCCCGGUGUUGAAUAAUAUUCAUGGAGGGGGGAAAAAUGGCAGAAGUAGCUAGGAAACGACUAACUACACCGUUUGGAUUGCUGUUUUAUGGAGUUUUUAUAGAAAAAUAUACUAUAAUGAUUUGCUGUAUGUGAGGUAAAAAAAUGAAUUUACGAAAAUUUUUUUGAGAAAAAUAACAAUCCAAACCAAAAAAAGGGAUAUUUGACUAUCUAAAUAAAAAAAAUGUACCGUAAUGAAUUGAUAUAUGAACAUCCGAUCACCAAAAAAAAAAGGAGAUAUCUACUAAAAUUUGCAAAAGACAAAUAUGAUGCUAAUCUUUUGUCAAGUCAUACCCACCGAGCAUUAUUGCAGUAACUUUCACUGGUCCCAUGCAUACGUAGACUACAUAAUGUAACAUCUAAGUAAGGAAGAAAACAAAUUAUCCAAAUGUGACUCAAUCAAUUCAACUAAAAAACUAGUUCUACUUCUCCAUGAAAUAUACUGUAUGUUUGCAUAGAAUAGCAACAUUACAUAGACGUUCUUGCAUGAUCAUGUUCAAUCAAACUUGUAUUUCUACUAUUAAUUUUUAGUCCAAAUUUAUUGUAGUAAGAAUGAUAUGAUAUCAAAAUGGCUAAUGGCUACUGAAGUAAUCAAAGAAUAAGAAGAUUGUAGAGUAGCAGAUUCCAGGUAUCAGGAACUCCAGGAAGACACCAGUGGCUGCAGUCCAUUCCCCCA